rnacentral:tRNA from 1 species
GCUAUUGUAGCUCAGUAGGUAGAGCAACGCACUCGUAAUGCGUAGGUCGGCGGUUCGAUUCCGCCCAGUAGCUCCA